GUGCGGUACGAUUCUGCAACAAGAGAACAACAGCGCAAAGCAAAUCGGUUAACGGAAAUAACCUCACAUAUUUCAUUGCCUGAGCAUUUGGCUUCCUUUCCGCUAAUUUAUGGCACACAAUGGCGGCGGCCGGACCGAAAGCCGUCGAAAGCAGUCAUUCACAUCGGACACAAGGUGCUGAGUGCAGCGAUAUUAAGUGUCUCGUAAGCGCACUUAAUAUUAGGCAACGAAAACAACAACAACAAUCACAACAGUGUAGCAGCAGUGAACGGUACAAAUCAACAAGCGAAAUAAGCAGGCGUUCUAGAUUUCAAAUUAAAUUUAACAAAUGCAAUUGUGUACAGCAGCCGAAAUCUAAUAAAAACUAUAAAUGACAGAUUAAUAAAAUGCGGCAGCUGAGCCGCACGAGGGGUGGGAAUGCGACGAAGGGGGAUGGUUGUAAAAAGCACGACGCGGCAAGGCGGGAGGGGCCAAGCAAAAGUGUGGCACACAACAAAUGAUUGCCAACAGUUGCGGGCCAAUGCAUAAAUAAAGGCACAACAACACCAACAACAACAACAACGCUCCAAAAUAAAUGCACUCGAAUAACCUUUUUGGAGCUUUCGGCGGUAAUUGCCACAAUGGAAAAUUGUGUUCACACACUUUGCCCACCAUUCUACGCUCCUGGCGGCUUUCAUCGAUAAAGUCAAAAUAAUAAUAUAAACCCGAAGCAAUAAAAAGAGAAUAAAAGAAAGUAAAAAUAGAAUGAAAGCGAGAAAAGUUCAACGUCCUAGAAAAUCAUGUUUGGAAGCCGUUCCAAUCACUACUCUGCAACAACAAACAAAAAUGUAACAAAACAAUUUUUUAAAUAGAGGGAUAAAUAAUUGGAAUUUUAAGUGAACGCAAGCAUAUGUGUGUUUUCGUUGAGG
rnacentral:lncRNA from 1 species